rnacentral:rRNA from 1 species
CACUAGUGAUUGUGAAUUGCAGAACUCCGUGAAUCAUCGAAUCUUUGAACGCAAAUGGCGCUCUUGGUUAUACCGGGAGCAUGUCUGUCUGAGUGUUGGUUAAAAAAAUUGAGCGCACACCUGCGUGUGUGUGAGUUCGACUGGGGCGUCGCGUAUCAAUUCGUAUACGCGUCCCUCGAAGUACAGCUCGUUCAACGCUGUGCGAACAAGGCCUAAGGAAUUCUUGCCCUUGCCAGCACAGCACAUGUUUGGUCGUCUCCUUUACCAAUUAACCUCAGAUCAGGCAAGAUUACCCGCUGAAUUUAAGCAUAUAAGUAAGCGGAGG